GCCGACUCAUUGGCCUAGGAGGGCUUAGCCCUUUUUGGACAUUUAUUUUGUUUUGCUGCAGGAAUAAAACACAAGAUCAAGCAUUCUGGCAAGAGAAACCUGAAAUGUACAAUCAAAUGAAUUAUUCCAGUCCAUGUGGAGCAGAGAGCAAGGCAGGAUGGGCUGAACCCUGAUCGAUGGGCUGGUUCUGGGAGUGCAUCUGAAAAGACGGAGGGAGGUCUGGAAGCGCAGAGGCCUUCUCGGUGUUUCGUGAGUGAAACGAC
rnacentral:lncRNA from 1 species